GUUUGUUAAAAUCAGGAUCUCAUUGUUCAUGGAAUCGAUGAUGUAUUGGACCAAAAAUCUCUUCUUGAUCACACAAUCAGAGCAUUGAAAAGACGACGAUUUCACUAUUGUUGUUACUGUGUGAAACAUCAAACGAUCAGAGAUGUAAAGUUUUGCUUCUAUUUUCGUUUCUAUCGCCUUCAGAUAUAGCUUUAUUCUCACAACCUGAUGAUUUCUUUUAUGAUUACCCUCACCAUAUUGUUUUCCGAUGAUGCCGAUUUAGGAGUCUUGCUAGAAAUGCUAGAGGUUUAUGAUUUUGCAGAUCAUUACUCAGAACAAGCCUCUAAUUGUUAAUUUCAUCUAUGAAAAUUUAUCUAUUAGCAGCGUUAUUAUUGAUAAUACGGAGUUUUAUAGAGUUCAUGGUGGAAGUUAAGGGCGAAGAUUGAAUCAUUUGGGUAGGAUGGGUGUGAUUAGUUGGACUUCUACGUGACAUCAUAAUUAAAACUUUGAAAAUCACAUCUUAUUCCGUUAAAUGAAAGGAUAGAAGUGAUCCCAUUGUAAGAUAUGAAGGGUAAUUUUGAACCAAAAGAUAGUUGAAGGGUAUAUGUGCUCUAUUUCAAAUUGUUAAAGGGUAAUUUUGAUCUUUUUCCGUAUUAGAUUUUAGGGUAAAUUUUCAGAUUUUAAUUUUUUUCGAUGAGUAUGUCGGAAUCCGGCGAACUACCACCACUCAAAACCCUCUUCUCUUCUCUGUAAAACAACCCAAAACCUCAUUGUUUUCUACCAGUGAACAUCGACCACUCCCAAAACCCCAAUGCCAUCUCUUUUCUUUUUUCGAUUAGUCUUCCGCCACCAGAGAUAAACCAGCAACCCUUUUUUUUCCAUCUUCUCCUCUCUUUCUUUGAAAACCAAAACCACUGGCCAAAGAUGAGUAGAAACUAGCUCAAACAACCAUUGCUCUACCCAUAACAACCACUUCAAUUUCCGCCAUUUUCGAUUAAAUACCCGACCCCAAACAGCUAACCAAACUACCCAAAACACUCAAGCCGUCCUUUUUCCUCUUUCCUCUUUUCUUGUGGCUGCGACGAAACAACAACUUAAACAACCAUCAAAGAAGUAGUUGAACAGCCAACAAUAGCGUCCAAACACCAUCCAGGUCUCGCCCCAACACCCCCAUUCCCCACUUUCUUCCGACGUAGAAACAACAAGCAGUGACCACUGUGAGGACGACCAGAUCUAAUCAAAUUUACGUUUCUGGCAAACCUAGCAAGUAGAAAGAUCUAAACAACCAUGACACCAUAAUCAGUAAUAUGCGAUUCCUCCGGAGUGAAGUUGUUGGGGGGAAGAGAAGAUAUUUUAUUAAUUUAAAUUGGCUAAUGAAGAAAUUACCGUCGAUUUUGAAGGUCUUUCAUGUCAAUGAGAAGGAUUUUAUUUUCAGUUAUUUAUUUCAUUUGUUUUUUAUUCGUAUUUAUUUAUCACCAACUCUUUUAUUAAGGUACCCCAGAGUUGCUUCUCAUCAAAGCUAUUCCAAUGGAGUUCAAUGUAUUUUAUAUUCAGUAUUGUGUAUAUUAUUGACGUUAGAUAAACAUUAGGCCGAUUAUUACAUUUUUUUUGUGUGUACAUUGUAUAUUGAUUGAACUUGUAUGUUACUUUUAUUUCCUCCUAAAUUUAAAAAAAAAAUGAAUUCAGGGA